rnacentral:rRNA from 1 species
UAGGGAAUCUUCCGCAAUGGACGCAAGUCUGACGGAGCAACGCCGCGUGAGUGAAGAAGGAUUUCGGUUCGUAAAACUCUGUUGUUAGAGAAGAACAGCGCAUAGAGUAACUGUUAUGCGUGUGACGGUAUCUAACCAGAAAGCCACGGCUAACUACGUGCCAGCAGCCGCGGUAAUACGUAGGUCCCGAGCGUUGUCCGGAUUUAUUGGGCGUAGAGCGAGCGCAGGCGGUUAGAAAAGUCUGAAGUGAAAGGCAGUGGCUCAACCAUUGUAGGCUUUGGAAACUGUUUAACUUGAGUGCAGAAGGGGAGAGUGGAAUUCCAUGUGUAGCGGUGAAAUGCGUAGAUAUAUGGAGGAACACCGGUGGCGAAAGCGGCUCUCUGGUCUGUAACUGACGCUGAGGCUCGAAAGCGUGGGGAGCGAACAGG